CGUUGAAAAACCGGUUCCCAUUGAAUCACCGAAGUUAAGCAAUGUCUGGCUUGGUCAAUACUUAGAUGGGCAACUCUUGGGAAUACCAUGUGCUGUAAU